rnacentral:lncRNA from 10 species
UGACAUCCCAAUGAGCCACCAUCCUGUGAGGAAGCCCAGAGCACAUGAAGAGACCACCUGCACAUGUUCAGAUCCACUGCCCCAGCUAAGAUCUCCGCUGACAGCCAGACCAAUCACCAAUCUUAGGAGCUGGCGAGCCUUCAGAUGGUCCAACCUUUGAGGCCCCCCAGAGGAGCCAGGUGGAGCAUAGAUGAGCCAUCCAUGUGGAUCCCUCCACCAAAUGGAAGAUUUAGGAGCAAAAUAAACAAUGUUGUCAUUGCUUUCAC